GACGAACGCUGGCGGCGUGCCUAAUACAUGCAAGUCGAGCGGACUUAAAAAGCUUGCUUUUUAAGUUAGCGGCGGACGGGUGAGUAACACGUGGGCAACCUGCCUGUAAGACUGGGAUAACUUCGGGAAACCGGAGCUAAUACCGGAUAAUCCUUUUCUACUCAUGUAGAAAAGCUGAAAGACGGUUUACGCUGUCACUUACAGAUGGGCCCGCGGCGCAUUAGCUAGUUGGUGAGGUAACGGCUCACCAAGGCGACGAUGCGUAGCCGACCUGAGAGGGUGAUCGGCCACACUGGGACUGAGACACGGCCCAGACUCCUACGGGAGGCAGCAGUAGGGAAUCUUCCGAAAUGGACGAAAGUCUGACGGAGCAACGCCGCGUGAGUGAUGAAGGUUUUCGGAUCGUAAAACUCUGUUGUUAGGGAAGAACAAUUACGAGAGUAACUGCUCGUACCUUGACGGUACCUAACCAGAAAGCCAGGGCUAACUACGUG
rnacentral:rRNA from 1 species